AUGAAGUCGUUUGAAAAACUGGUUCUGGCUUAUCUGAAGGACAUCACAGGACCAUUACUGGACCCCCUCCAGUUUGCUUACCGAGCAAACAGGUCCGUGGAUGAUGCAAUCAACAUGGGAUUGCACUUCAUCCUGCAUAAUCUGGACAUAACAGGGACUUAUGUGAGGAUCCUAUUUGUGGACUUUAGUUCAGCAUUCAACACCAUCAUCCCAACAGCCCUUCAGACCAAACUGACGCAGCUCUCUGUUCCUAGCUCUAUCUGUCAGUGGAUCACCAGCUUUCUGACAGAUAGGCAACAGUUAGUGAGACUGGGGAAAUUCACAUCAAACAGCUGCUCCACCAACACUGGUGCUCCUCAGGGAUGUGUUCUCUCCCCUCUGCUCUUCUCCCUGUACACCAACGACUGCACCUCUAAAGACCCCUCUGUCAAGCUCCUGAAGUUUGCAGACGACACUACAGUCAUCGGCCUCAUCCAGGACGGUGAUGAAUCUGCUUACAGACAAGAGGUUGAGCAGCUGGCUGUCUGGUGCAGUCUUAACAACCUGGAGCUGAACACGCUCAAAACAGUGGAGAUGAUCGUGGACUUUAGGAGAAACCCCCCUGCACUUUCCCCACUCACCAUCAUGAACAGCACUUUGACUGCAGUGGAGUCAUUCAGAUUCCUGGGAACCAUCAUCUCUCAGGACCUGAAGUGGGACAAUCACAUUGACUCCAUUGUUAAAAAGGCCCAGCAAAGGUUGUAUUUCCUUCGCCAGCUGAGGAAGUUUAACCUGCCACAGGAGCUGCUAAAACAGUUCUACUCGGCCGUCAUUGAGUCUGUCCUCUGUACUUCAAUAACUGUCUGGUUUGGUUCAGCAACAAAAUCAGACAUCAGAAGACUACAGAGAACUGUUCGGACUGCUGAAAGGAUUAUUGGUGCUCCCCUGCCCACCCUUCAAGCACUGUAUACAUCCAGAGUGAGGAAAAGGGCUCAGAAAAUCUCUGGACUCUGGAUCCCUCACAUCCAAGUCACCCCAUUUUUGAACUUUUGCCAUCUGGCCGGCGCCUCAGAGCCGCAAACACCAGAACAGCAAGGCACAAGAACAGUUUCUUCCCCCAGGCAAUCUACCUCAUGA
rnacentral:lncRNA from 1 species